AGAGUUUGAUCCUGGCUCAGAUUGAACGCUGGCGGCAGGCUUAACACAUGCAAGUCGAACGGUAGCAGGAGGAAGCUUGCUUUCUUGCUGACGAGUGGCGGACGGGUGAGUAAUGCUUGGGAAUCUGGCUUAUGGAGGGGGAUAACUACUGGAAACGGUAGCUAAUACCGCGUAAUAUCGAGAGAUUAAAGGGUGGGACUUUCGGGCCACCUGCCAUAAGAUGAGCCCAAGUGGGAUUAGGUAGUUGGUGGGGUAAAGGCCUACCAAGCCUGCGAUCUCUAGCUGGUCUGAGAGGAUGGCCAGCCACACUGGAACUGAGACACGGUCCAGACUCCUACGGGAGGCAGCAGUGGGGAAUAUUGCACAAUGGGGGGAACCCUGAUGCAGCCAUGCCGCGUGAAUGAAGAAGGCCUUCGGGUUGUAAAGUUCUUUCGGUGAUGAGGAAGGUGUUUUGUUUAAUAGACAAGGCAAUUGACGUUAGUCACAGAAGAAGCACCGGCUAACUCCGUGCCAGCAGCCGCGGUAAUACGGAGGGUGCGAGCGUUAAUCGGAAUAACUGGGCGUAAAGGGCACGCAGGCGGAUUGUUAAGUGAGAUGUGAAAGCCCCGAGCUUAACUUGGGAAUUGCAUUUCAGACUGGCAGUCUAGAGUAUUUUAGGGAGGGGUAGAAUUCCACGUGUAGCGGUGAAAUGCGUAGAGAUGUGGAGGAAUACCGAAGGCGAAGGCAGCCCCUUGGGAAUAUACUGACGCUCAUGUGCGAAAGCGUGGGGAUCAAACAGGAUUAGAUACCCUGGUAGUCCACGCUGUAAACGAUGAUUACUAGGUGUUGGGGGUCAAACCUCAGCGCCCAAGCUAACGCGAUAAGUAAUCCGCCUGGGGAGUACGUACGCAAGUAUGAAACUUAAAGGAAUUGACG
rnacentral:rRNA from 1 species